rnacentral:rRNA from 1 species
CCUACGGGAGGCAGCAGUGGGGAAUAUUGCACAAUGGGGGAAACCCUGAUGCAGCGACGCCGCGUGAGUGAAGAAGUAUUUCGUUAUGUAAAGCUCUAUCAGCAGGGAAGAAAUAGCAACCUUUGGGUCGCCAGACGGUACCUGACUAAGAAGCCCCGGCUAACUACGUGCCAGCAGCCGCGGUAAUACGUAGGGGGCAAGCGUUAUCCGGAUUUACUGGGUGUAAAGGGAGCGUAGACGGCAGCACAAGUCUGAAGUGAAAUGCCGGGGCUUAACCCCGGAACUGCUUUGGAAACUGUGCAGCU